UACGUAGGUGGCAAGCGUUGUCCGGAUUCACUGGGCGUAAAGGGUGCGUAGGCGGUCGGGUAAGUCUGACGUGAAAUCUUCAAGCUUAACUUGGAAACUGCGUCGGAUACUAUUCGGCUGGAGGAAUGGAGGGGAGACUGGAAUACUUGGUGUAGCAGUGAAAUGCGUAGAUAUCAAGUGGAACACCAGUGGCGAAGGCGAGUCUCUGGACAUUUCCUGACGCUGAGGCACGAAAGCCAGGGGAGCAAACGGG
rnacentral:rRNA from 1 species